GUGAGUGAAAAGCAUUUGAGUCGCACGCGGACCACAAAUCUGAUAGAAGCGGUUCCAGUGGAAAACCUAAACUUCAGAUGGCACGCAACUUAUACAGCAUCUCCGCCUCUGCUGCACAUCCUCUCAUAAAUAUAGCACUCAAGAACGUCAGCCCUGACCUCAAGUUGAAGAAAGAGAGAGUUGGAUCUGCACUGUGGUUGAGCUGUCUGUGAAGGUGGGGACUUGGAGAUGACGUAGGUGCAAAAAUAUUCAAGAUGUGGUGUAAGGUGAAGCAGAGGACAUAUAUGUGAGAAACACAAGAAAACAGCAUGGGGGCUUAAACGGCUAGAGGAAGACAAAGAUACCCACUAUGCUGCUGAAUCGUUGAGCUGGUACUCUCUGGAUCGACUGAAACAGACAUGCACUCCUUGGUCCUUCCACAAACGCUUUAUCACUCCAGCCAGCUCUGCUGUCAUGAAACCCUCCUCAGCGCUGCCCGCCAACACAAACAACUGCCUCGCAUCAUCCUGAGACACAGAGAGUACAGCAGAUUUCAAUUCUUGCACACAUUCAGUUAUCAUUGUCCUGUUUUAUUGCAUUGUCAUAUCAGGACAGUUGUAGCACCCUGACAUUGUAUACUUUAUAAU